GCCUCCAUAGUUUAAUGGAUAAAACACAGGCCUCCGAAGCCUGUGAUGCAGGUUCGAUUCCUGCUGGAGGCA
rnacentral:tRNA from 1 species